rnacentral:rRNA from 1 species
GGUGGAUUAGUGGCGAACGGGUGAGUAACACGUGGGUGAUCUGCCCUGCACUUCGGGAUAAGCCUGGGAAACUGGGUCUAAUACCGGAUAGGACCUCGGGAUGCAUGUUCCGGGGUGGAAAGGUUUUCCGGUGCAGGAUGGGCCCGCGGCCUAUCAGCUUGUUGGUGGGGUAACGGCCCACCAAGGCGACGACGGGUAGCCGGCCUGAGAGGGCGACCGGCCACACUGGGACUGAGACACGGCCCAGACUCCUACGGGAGGCAGCAGUGGGGAAUAUUGCACAAUGGGCGCAAGCCUGAUGCAGCGACGCCGCGUGAGGGAUGACGGCCUUCGGGUUGUAAACCUCUUUCAGUACCGACGAAGCGCAAGUGACGGUAGGUACAGAAGAAGCACCGGCCAACUACGUGCCAGCAGCCGCGGUAAUACGUAGGGUGCGAGCGUUGUCCGGAAUUACUGGGCGUAAAGAGCUCGUAGGCGGUUUGUCGCGUCGUCUGUGAAAACCCGCAGCUCAACUGCGGGCUUGCAGGCGAUACGGGCAGACUUGAGUACUGCAGGGGAGACUGGAAUUCCUGGUGUAGCGGUGAAAUGCGCAGAUAUCAGGAGGAACACCGGUGGCGAAGGCGGGUCUCUGGGCAGUAACUGACGCUGAGGAGCGAAAGCGUGGGUAGCGAACAGGAUUAGAUACCCUGGUAGUCCACGCCGUAAACGGUGGGCGCUAGGUGUGGGUUUCCUUCCACGGGAUCCGUGCCGUAGCUAACGCAUUAAGCGCCCCGCCUGGGGAGUACGGCCGCAAGGCUAAA